rnacentral:antisense_RNA from 1 species
CAGUGCCGGGUCUGCGCAGCCACGAGUCCCGGACGUCUCGGCCCCGGGAAUAAAUAAAGACGUAAACCAACCUGGCUUUCUCCGGAGAAAUGAGGUCUGAUCAAUGGUCACAAUUUCUAGGCAGCGCAGUGGUGGAUGCGCGCAAACUUUUGCGCACCGCUGGAAACCCACUAGGUUGAGUUGCAAAACGUACCGCGUAGACGCCCCUGGUGGCGCCGAGAGAAGAGCUAGGCCGGCCCAGCACAGAGCCGGAGAGCGUCGGGCCUUCCGGAAGGUUCGACGAGAUGAGUUCCUACUUGACCUCUGAGCCGAGGUGGGCCGGAAACCGAGGCCUAGGCCCCGCCGGGGCUGCAAGGAAAAGGCGAAACUCCGAGCGUAGCGUCUUUUCCGUGUCGUUCCUUUCUCUGGCAUCCCGGACCGCGGGCCCUGCAGCCACCUGGACCGGCAUUCAAAGGAUUCUGCAAGUCCAGCUUCACAGACUGGCUUUCCCAGAGGCUCCGAAGCCCGCACCACGAACAGAAUAAAGGAGAGACGAGAGAUCGCAACUAGAUUUGAGAAUCCUCGUUCUUUUCCCUAAUCGUUCGGGCAGUAAACUCCGGAGCCGGCUACAGCGCGCAUCCUCCCUUCCUCCUUUCGGAGAACUGUCGCUUUCCCGAAGCUGCUCCCAGCUGGGUUUUCUCCCGAAGUUUAUUUUUCUCAUUUUGCAAAAUUCCUGCCCUGAUUUUAAUACUGCAACAGGACAGCAGAGGUUCCUCUUUAAAAAGUCAAAACCAAAACCAAAGGGACCCAUUGCUGUUGAUAAUUUUUUUCUUCACUUUCUCC